UUUGAAAAGGGUUUCAAGUUACAUUUCAACAGUUGAGCCACAAUUCUUGCCAGUCGCACGAACCACCUCUUCCUUAAGACGAAGCUGCUUCUAAUGUUUAAAAAGCAACAAUCAGCAGGAAGGUUGCCCAGUGUAAUGAAAGGUCGAUAAGUAGCGUUCACCUGAUGAAUUAAAAAUGCACGGUCUUCACAAGAUUCCAUGGUCUUUUCCUAUUUGCACAAACUAUAGUCCGAGAUCGGUAGUUCUGAUGAAAAAGACACGGAGGUGGAAUGCUGACUGACCCACUGAGUUCCUCUGGAAAUUUGUUAUUUUGCUCAAGAUUCCAGCAUCUGCACCAUUACAAUGCCAAUGUUGUUUUGUGGUUUUUGAUUAAGUGGAAAUUAGAUGGUGAAAUGUAUCAGCCUUAAAAGGUAUCAGAAAUGUAAUUAACUUCCAUUAAAAUGUCCAUGUUUAGAUGUGACAAUAAACAAAACUGAACUGAUGUACUGUGCCAUGGAUCUUUAAAAAAAUCCAGGUUGGAUUACUGACGAGAGACCACAUGUGAUUCAGUUACACCACGUGUGCCUGAUGAGGAAAUUAUUGACCAUGCACUAUGACAUUAAAUAGUACUGAAUGCCCACUGAAAUGUUGCUUCCAUAGAGCUCAGCCCAGCUUGAGGCUCACAAGCUCUCCAGGUGUUGAACGAUGAACAGCUCUACCUGGCCUUUGAUGGGAACCUGUGGUUUGCAUCAUCUAGAUAGCUGCAUUCUUUAAGUUUUCAAAGUUUGUAGUUGUGUCCUGCUCCCGUGAUCCCCCAUGCCACUUCCCUGCUGUCAUUCUCUGGCCUCACCUAUCACAUAUUUAAUGCCCCCACCCCUCCUAAGUAUCUUCUUGUCCUCCAGGCCAUCUCGCAACAAUAAGCUCACGUACAUCACCUCAAAACAAUCCAAUCUUCUGCCACCUCACCCUCAAAUCAUCUCCUACACACUUAUCUCUCCCAGCCACACAAUUUCCCCAUCUAUUAGCUUCCUCAUCUUACUUUCAUUCCAAUUCCAAGACAUUUCCCCCGAGAUCUUCACUUUACCAGAAGAUUGGAAAUGAUGUAGGAAAAGAGUCAUAGAGUUAUACAGCAUGCAGACAGGCCCUUUGGCCCAACUCAUUCCUGCUGACCAAAUUGUCAAGCUGAGUUAGUCCCACCUCCAUGCAUUUUCAAUGACCCAUCUCCCAGCAAAUCUUUUAUAUCUACGUAUGUACUUGCCGAAGUGUCUUUUUAAAUGU